UUUAUUGGAGAGUUUGAUCCUGGCUCAGGAUGAACGCUGGCGGCGUGCCUAAUACAUGCAAGUCGAGCGAAUGGAUUAAGAGCUUGCUCUUAUGAAGUUAGCGGCGGACGGGUGAGUAACACGUGGGUAACCUGCCCAUAAGACUGGGAUAACUCCGGGAAACCGGGGCUAAUACCGGAUAACAUUUUGAACCGCAUGGUUCGAAAUUGAAAGGCGGCUUCGGCUGUCACUUAUGGAUGGACCCGCGUCGCAUUAGCUAGUUGGUGAGGUAACGGCUCACCAAGGCAACGAUGCGUAGCCGACCUGAGAGGGUGAUCGGCCACACUGGGACUGAGACACGGCCCAGACUCCUACGGGAGGCAGCAGUAGGGAAUCUUCCGCAAUGGACGAAAGUCUGACGGAGCAACGCC
rnacentral:rRNA from 1 species